rnacentral:rRNA from 1 species
GAUGAACGCUGGCGGCGUGCUUAACACAUGCAAGUCGAACGAAGCAAUCAUACGGAAGUUUUCGGAUGGAAGAAUGAUUGACUGAGUGGCGGACGGGUGAGUAACGCGUGGAUAACCUACCUCAUACAGGGGGAUAACAGUCAGAAAUGACUGCUAAUACCGCAUAAGCGCACAGGGCCGCAUGGUCCGGUGUGAAAAACUCCGGUGGUAUGAGAUGGAUCCGCGUCUGAUUAGCUAGUUGGAGGGGUAACGGCCCACCAAGGCGACGAUCAGUAGCCGACCUGAGAGGGUGACCGGCCACAUUGGGACUGAGACACGGCCCAAACUCCUACGGGAGGCAGCAGUGGGGAAUAUUGCACAAUGGGGGAAACCCUGAUGCAGCGACGCCGCGUGAAGGAAGAAGUAUUUCGGUAUGUAAACUUCUAUCAGCAGGGAAGAAAAUGACGGUACCUGACUAAGAAGCCCCGGCUAAUUACGUGCCAGCCGCCGCCGUAACAC